rnacentral:rRNA from 1 species
GCAAGUCGAGCGGUAGAGAGAAGCUUGCUUCUCUUGAGAGCGGCGGACGGGUGAGUAAUGCCUAGGAAUCUGCCUGGUAGUGGGGGAUAACGUCCGGAAACGGACGCUAAUACCGCAUACGUCCUACGGGAGAAAGCAGGGGACCUUCGGGCCUUGCGCUAUCAGAUGAGCCUAGGUCGGAUUAGCUAGUUGGUGGGGUAAUGGCUCACCAAGGCGACGAUCCGUAACUGGUCUGAGAGGAUGAUCAGUCACACUGGAACUGAGACACGGUCCAGACUCCUACGGGAGGCAGCAGUGGGGAAUAUUGGACAAUGGGCGAAAGCCUGAUCCAGCCUUGCCGCGUGUGUGAAGAAGGUCUUCGGAUUGU